rnacentral:rRNA from 1 species
AUUGAACGCUGGCGGCAUGCUUUACACAUGCAAGUCGAACGGCAGCGCGGGCUUCGGCCUGGCGGCGAGUGGCGAACGGGUGAGUAAUACAUCGGAACGUGCCCAGUAGUGGGGGAUAGCUCGGCGAAAGCCGGAUUAAUACCGCAUACGACCUGAGGGUGAAAGCGGGGGAUCUUCGGACCUCGCGCUAUUGGAGCGGCCGAUGGCAGAUUAGCUAGUUGGUGGGGUAAAGGCCUACCAAGGCGACGAUCUGUAGCUGGUCUGAGAGGACGACCAGCCACGCUGGGACUGAGACACGGCCCAGACUCCUACGGGAGGCAGCAGCGGGGAAUUUUGGACAAUGGGCGAAAGCCUGAUCCAGCAAUGCCGCGUGUGUGAUGAAGGCCUUCGGGUUGUAAAGCACUUUUGGCGGGAACGAAAAGGACUGUGCCAAUACCACGGUUCGAUGACGGUACCCGCAGAAUAAGCACCGGCUAACUACGUG